rnacentral:rRNA from 1 species
UGGGGAAUAUUGCACAAUGGGCGAAAGCCUGAUGCAGCGACGCCGCGUGAGUGAAGAAGGUCUUCGGAUCGUAAAACUCUGUCCUUGGGGAAGAAAAUGACGGUACCCAAGGAGGAAGCCCCGGCUAACUACGUGCCAGCAGCCGCGGUAAUACGUAGGGGGCGAGCGUUGUCCGGAUUUACUGGGCGUAAAGGGUGAGUAGGCGGUUAAUUAAGUCAGAUGUAAAAGGCGUAGGCUCAACUUACGUAAGCAUCUGAUACUGGAUAACUUGAGUGCAGGAGAGGUAAGUGGAAUUCCUAGUGUAGCGGUGAAAUGCGUAGAUAUUAGGAGGAACACCAGUGGCGAAGGCGACUUACUGGACUGUAACUGACGCUGAGUCACGAAAGCGUGGGUAGCAAAC